ACGCUCGACACCUACGGGAGCAGCAGUGGGGAAUAUUGCACAAUGGGGGAAACCCUGAUGCAGCAACGCCGCGUGAAGGAAGACGGUUUUCGGAUUGUAAACUUCUGUUCUUAGUGAAGAUAGUGACGGUAGCUAAGGAGCAAGCCACGGCUAACUACGUGCCUGCAGCCGCGGUAAUCUGAGCGGGCUGGCAAGGC
rnacentral:rRNA from 1 species